UUGAUGAUUUUUGUGCUUCGUUGCUUCCGAAAACUGUAGAAGCUUUGGUGACCACACAAGAUUGGCUCCCUUCCCUGAAAAAGAAGAAACUUGACAUGAAUGUUACAAACAAAGCCAUACAAAAUUAAAAUAAUGUUUCUUAAUGACUAAAGCUUAUGCGUGGUGGACUUGUGGGUGAUAUGAUAUGGAGAGAGAGCUCAAACUUCAAAGGCUAUGCUUGAGAUUUUUUUUCCUUUGUUUUUGUUGCUCACUUUAUCUAUAACAUUUGUUGAAUAUGUAGUCAUUGCAAUAUUUUUCAUAUUUUGGUUCCUUUUAAUUUGGUAUUAUUUUGUGGAUUGUU